rnacentral:rRNA from 1 species
CGGAACGACGCUCUUUUAUUUUUAGAGACCUUUUUCGAAGGUAUACUUAAAGAGGGGCUUGCGGCACAUUAGUUAGUUGGUAGGGUAAAAGCCUACCAAGACUAUGAUGUGUAGCUGGACUGAGAGGUUGAACAGCCACAUUGGGACUGAGACACGGCCCAAACUCCUACGGGAGGCAGCAGUAGGGAAUUUUCGGCAAUGGAGGAAACUCUGACCGAGCAACGCCGCGUGAACGAUGAAGUAUUUCGGUAUGUAAAGUUCUUUUAUUGAAGAAGAAAAAAUAGUGGAAAAACUAUCUUGACGAUAUUCAAUGAAUAAGCCCCGGCAAACUAUGUGCCAGCAGCCGCGGUAAUACAUAGGGGGCGAGCGUUAUCCGGAAUUAUUGGGCGUAAAGGGUGCGUAGGCGGUUUGGUAAGUCUAUAGUUUAAUUUCAGUGCUUAACACUGUUCUGCUAUAGAAACUAUCAGACUAGAGUGAGAUAGAGGCAAGUGGAAUUCCAUGUGUAGCGGUAAAAUGCGUAAAUAUAUGGAGGAACACCAGAGGCGUAGGCGGCUUGCUGGGUCUUUACUGACGCUGAGGCACGAAAGCGUGGGGAGCAAACAGGAUUAGAUACCCUGGUAGUCCACGCCGUAAACGAUGAGUACUAAGUGUCGGGGAAACUCGGUACUGAAGUUAACACAUUAAGUACUCCGCCUGAGUAGUACGUACGCAAGUAUGAAACUUAAAGGAAUUGACGGGACUCCGCACAAGCGGUGGAUCAUGUUGUUUAAUUCGAAGAUACACGAAAAACCUUACCAGGUCUUGACAUACUCUGCAAAGCUAUAGCAAUAUAGUGGAGGUUAUCAGGGAUACAGGUGGUGCAUGGUUGUCGUCAGCUCGUGUCGUGAGAUGUUAGGUUAAGUCCUAAAACGAGCGCAACCCUUGUCACUAGUUGCCAGCAUGUUAUGAUGGGCACUUUAGUGAGACUGCCAAUGAAAAAUUGGAGGAAGGUGAGGAUCACGUCAAAUCAUCAUGCCCCUUAUGAUCUGGGCUACAAACGUGAUACAAUGGCUGUUACAAAGAGUAGCUAAAACGCGAGUUUAUAGCCAAUCUCAUAAAAGCAGUCUCAGUUCGGAUUGAAGUCUGCAACUCGACUUCAUGAAGUUGGAAUCGCUAGUAAUCGCGAAUCAGCAUGUCGCGGUAG